UGUUGAUGUUUUGAAUUUGGAGCGCUGCUCUGGCACUUAUCGUGACCAGCUAUAACUUAAACUGGAACUACCUAUUUUCUAGUGAACUAUUUCUUCCAAACCAUGUCUUUUUCAAGAGCUCCAGUGAAGCGAUUCAAUGAAAAUAUCGGCUGCGCCCCAGCACCGGGCACCUACGAGCUGAAACCAGGAGAGGUGAAAGGACCUGCCUCUUUCCUCCGGUCAGAGCGCUUCAAACUGCUCAAGGCCAGUGUUGCUCCCAGCAUCCUACCACCAUCUCCUAAAGAUGUGCCCACGUCACCUGUGGCUGUCUGUAGGACCAUGUCUGUGGAUGGACUGGUUGACGGGUCCAUGUCAAAGAAAGACAAGAGUGACCAAUCGAUGAAGAUGAAACGGCAGAAACUCCUGGAGAAAGAGAUCCGCUCCCUGGUGCAGCAGCGUGGGGAGCAGGACAGGCGCCUGGUAACCCUGGAGGAGGAGCUGAGGAAGGUGGAGGCCAAGCUGUUGUCUGUGGUCAGGGAGAAGACUGGUCUGGCAGCUAACGUCACCACCCUGGAGAGACAGCUGGCUGAGCUCAAGAAGACUAACGACUUCUUCAAGAACAAGGUUUCUGCAGACGCAACUAAGAAGCGAUUCCAGUCUAUGUCUAUGGAGCUGAUGGAGGCAAGAAACAAACUGGAUGUCAAGGACAAGGAGCUGAGUUUCCUGCAGAUCAGUACAGGGGGCCAGGUGAUGUUGCUGGAGACAGACCUGGAGGCAGCCAGAGCUACACUCACCACCCUGAGGGAGAGGAACGAGGACCUGGCGGACCUCCACCACGACACCAAAGUCCACAACGAGGAGCUGGAGAAUGAGAUGGGUUCACUGCAAGCUGUGAUCCAGGAGCUGAGAGAGGAGGUCAAUGUUCUAAAGGGUUACCUGGACACAGCCAACGACCACAUCCAGGACCUGCGUAUGAAGCUUCGUGAGAAGACAGAGAUGGAGAACAGCAUGUCUGAGUCUCAGCACGAGAAACUGGGUCAUCUUGAGCAGAAGCUGGAGCAGUGCACCGCGGAGCUCAGGAUCUCUCAGAACAUUCUCCGUCAGAAGGAGGAGGAGUCAGAGAAAGGUCAACAGGACCUGCAGGCUUCCCGGGAUGCAUUGCAGGAGACCGAGAAGCUUCUGGAGUGGCGAGAGGCGGAGCUGACGUCCUCCCAGAAGGCAUUGGGAGAUAUGGAAACACAGAUGCAGCGGGCCAACCAGGAAGUGUCUGACUCCCAGAGUGCAGUGCGGCAACAGGAUGCGGAGGUAGUGCGUCUGAGGGAGGUGCUGAGGAGGACCGUGAAGGAGCUGGAUGAGAGAAUAGCUCAUCUAGGAGAGAAGUGCAAAAUCCUGGAGGAGGAGAGAAAUAGGGGCCAGGGGAGAGUGGAGGAGCUGACUGCAGAGCUGAGCCUCCUGCAGGAGAACUGGCGGAGUGAGAAGGAGGUGCAGGAGCAGCUGGCGCAGGCACACACCUCCCUGACUGAGGAGCUGAAGAAGGAAAAGGAGCGUGCAGCCUCCCUGGCCUCGGGGCUGGAGAGAGUUAGGGAGGAGACCGAGGACGAGAGGAAACAGUUGGAGGAUAAGUUGGAGGAGGCUCUAGUGGAGCUGUCAGUUCUGGAGUUGCAGGAAGAGAGGAGGGAGGAGGAGGAGAAGAGGAGAGAGGAGGCCUUACAGAGUUUCCAGCAGGUGAAGACUGAGAUGGAGAGGGAACUGACUGAGACCAGAGCACUGCUAGACAGGAGAAGCAGUGCCGUGGAAGCGUUGAAGGUGCACGGUGCUGAAACGAGGAGGCUGCAGGAGGAACACACCACCUCCCUCAGCAAGAUAGGACACAUGGCCACGGAACUGGAGAGCACCAGACAGGCCCUGAAGGGAGCAGAGGAUAGGAGUAGAGCGCUGGAGGACGAGGUAGACAGGGUGACUAAGCAGAUGGAGAGAGUGAAUCAACAGGAGGAGGAGGUGAAAAGGCUGAGGGAGGAGAUGGAGGAGGAACAUGAGAAACAUAUAGCUAACCAGCGGGGUCAGGAGAAAGCCAGAAAGGAGUAUGCAAGAAUUCUGUUGGAGGUACAGACACGUCUAGCUCAGCGAGAUGAUGAAAUGAAGAGGGAUGAGGAGGAGGUGCAGAGACAGCUGCAGGAGGAGAGGAUGGAGAAAGGGGAGAUGCAAAGGCUACUCCAGCAAGCUAGAGAGGAGAAAGAGGAGCUUCAAAGGCUAUUUAAGCAAACUAAAGAGGGGGUGCAGAGGCUACUGGAGCAGGAGAAAGGAGAGGGGGAAGUGCAAGGGAUGUCAGAGGAGGUGGGGGGGCGAGAGAGACUGGUGGAGGUGGUAGAGGAGGAGAAGCUAACUCUUCAGUGCUUGGUAUUGGAGGUAGAGAAGGAGAAACUGAGUCUUCAAAACCAGUUGGAGAAGGUGGAGGACCAGGUAAAGAAAUAUCUGCCAUCUCUAGAGAACCACAUGAAUGAGGUAGAGAAAGAGAGGGAUGAUCUGAAAACAGAAGCAACGUUUGAAAUAGACAAACAGGGCCUUCAGAACCAGGUAGAACUGAUGGAAGAGAAGGUUUCUCUUCAGAGCCAGGUGGAUGUGGAGGUCCAGGAGGUUUCUCUUCAGAGCCAGGUGGAUGUGGAGGUCCAGGAGGUUUCUCUCCAGAGCCAGGUGGAUGUGGAGGUCCAGGAGGUUUCUCUCCAGAGCCAGGUGGAUGUGGUGGUCCAGGAGGUUUCUCUCCAGAGCCAGGUGGAUGUGGUGGUCCAGGAGAAGGUGACUCUCUAUUGGGAGAUGGAGGAACAGAGGAGACUUCCAGAGAAUGCUGCUGGAGACUCGAGACAAGAGUGAUGCAGAGACUGAACACUGGAGGAGACGGUACGAGGAGCUCUACGCCAAGGUCAGGCCCUUCCAGGAGCAGCUGAAUGGGUUUACUGCGGAGCGGGAAUCGCUACUGAACGAGAACGGGGCGAACCAGGAGGAGCUAACACGGCUAGCGGACGCCUACGCUCGUCUGCUGGGCUACCAGAACCAGAAACAGAAGAUCAGACACGUGGUGAAGCUCAAAGAUGAGAACAUUUCCCUCAAACAGGAGCUGUCUAAGCUGCGUGCCCAGGUGUCCCGUCAGGGUUGACCCCAGAAAAGCCUUCAACAACCAGGACAGGAAGGAGAACCUGCUGCCACACCUCUCAGACACACCAGCAUUUCCUUUAGCGGGUAAUUGACAGCUUUUGGACAUUUUUUAAAUUGAUGUAUUAUUCUCUUUUUUAAGACUUAACAAACGGCACAUAAACAUUGUUUGACAGAGAAUAUCCAAUCACAUCGGCUGCAUUGUGGUUUGUUCAAGUUGUCUAUCAAUGGCAUCACCUCUACUCUGCCUCUGCCUUUGCCUAGAGUUCGUCCUCCCAUAGUGGACUUGCAACAACAACAUGGUCUGACCUGUGAUACACAGCUGUUUUUGUUUGUGCAGGGGAGAAGUCUUCAUGCAUUUUAUGAAUGCUUUUUCUAGUUGAACCUCCCAAGAACUGACAGAAAUGUCCACUAAUGCCUAUUUAACAUUGUAAGUCAGGUUAGCUCGCUACAGAUAUAGGGUCUUCAUUUGAGCCAGGUUGCUACAGCAGGCAAAUAGUCCUGCAGCAACAGGAAAUGUGAAUUAUUAUGUGGAUCAUGAUUAUUGGACAUUCUUUUUGGGGUUGAUACAUUUUUCGGGAGGGAAAAUCAAGUCUGAAAUUUCAAAGUUGAAAUUGCAAACUUCAGAAGACAUUUUUAAAUCUAAAAUAUACUACCACCACCUGCCAGCCCCCCCCCUCCCCUCAUCGGAGGACAAAGUGUAUAUAUAUAUAUAUAUUUUACAUUAUUUAUAUUUUACGGACAUGGUGCCUUUUUUUUACAUGAGUUAACUAUUAUCAAUGUUUCCAACACUUUGGGGGCGACGAGCCCUUUUUUGAACGGAAACUUAAACGUUGUGGGAAUUAUGUGUAACGUCCUGCAUGGUUUAGUGCUGAGGCUGUAGCCUUACAGAUCUAGACAGUAGCCAAUAGGUUAUUGGAGCAUUAUGUAGGCCUUCCAUCAAAACCAAUGGAGCAAAUCCCAUAACAUUUUCACAUGGAAAUAACUUUUGAUUUCUAUGACAUAGCCUACAUGUGGUGGUCAAUGCAGGCCUACAUUGCAUGAGACUUACAUUAUCAAGAGCUUGACAUUAAUAAAUGAUUUUGUACCUGGUCUGUAACACCGUGGGCCAAAUAGGUGACUGUAAAUUGUAUUGUGUUGUAUGAUGCAAGAAACCACUUUACAAAAUAUAAUGAAUUAUUAUUACUAUACAGAGCAUUAGAAAAUGUAGACAAGCCCUCUGCAUAUGGGCUUAUUUGCAUAUUCAAGUCUGUCUCAAAAUUCAACACUGCCACUUUUUAUUAAGACACAAGCUUUUUACCUGACUGGCUUUUCAAAGACGGCUUGAAAUGUAGCCUCCACGUUCUGUGGAAGCAGUAACUCCAGACAUCAUGCAAAUACACAGUGCAUUUGGAAAGUCAGACCUCUUGACUUUUUCAUGUUACCUCUUUAGUUUUUCUUCUUUGAAUCUACACACAAUACCCCAUAAUGACAAAGCAAAAACAGCUUUUUAAAAUAAAAAAUACUCACAUUUUACAUAAGUAUUCAGACCCUUUACUCAGUACUUUCUUGAAUCACCUUGGGCAGCAAUUACAGCCACAAGUAUUCUUUGGUAUGAGACUACAAGCUUGGCACACCUGUAUUUGGGGAGUUUAUCCCAUUCUUCUCUGCAGAUCCUCUCAAGCUCUGUCAGAUGGAGGGUCGGAGCCCAGCUAUUCUCAUGUCUCUCCAGAGAUGUCCGAUGGGGUUCAAGUCAAGUACAUUCAGAGACUUGUUCCGAAGCCACUCCUGCGUUGUCUUGGCUGUGGGCUUAGAGUCGUUGUCCUGUUGGAAGGAGAACAUUUG